UACGUAGGGUGCGAGCGUUAAUCGGAAUUACUGGGCGUAAAGUGUGCGCAGGCGGCCGAGCAGGUUGAGUGUGAAAGCCCCGAGCUUAACUUGGGAACUGCGCUCGAAACUACUUGGCUAGAGUGUGGCAGAGGGAGGUGGAAUUCCACGUGUAGCGGUGAAAUGCGUAGAGAUGUGGAGGAACACCGAUGGCGAAGGCAGCCUCCUGGGCCAACACUGACGCUCAUGCACGAAAGCGUGGGGAGCAAACAGG
rnacentral:rRNA from 1 species